CAGCUGAUGACAAAUUCCGUCUUAAAGUUGUACAGUCUUACGUUGAAGGGCUCUGCUGGGUUCUUCGAUAUUAUUACCAGGGCUGUGCUUCCUGGAAGUGGUAUUAUCCAUUUCAUUAUGCACCAUUUGCUUCAGACUUGGAAGGUAUUGCAGACAUGCCUUCUGAUUUUGAGAAGGGUACUAAACCGUUUAAACCACUGGAACAACUUAUGGGAGUUUUUCCAGCUGCAAGUGGUAACUUCCUACCUCCAUCAUGGCGGAAGCUCAUGAGUGAUCCUGUGAGUGUCUUAGUUUUUGAGUGUGUUGAUAACUGGAUUUUUGUCGUACAUUUUGCUAGCA